GCACACCCCCCAAUUCUCUAGGAUUCUCCCAGACUUAAUAGAACUAGUCUCUCAUGGAAGGGGCUUUAAAAAUGUUAGUGAUGGGCUGGGAAUAUGGCCUAGUGGCAAGAGUGCUUGUUUUGUAUACAUGAAGCCUUGGCACACCACAUAUAUAGAAAACGGCCAGA